AUUUAUAAGAAAAUUUAUUAUGUUUUUCUGUUGCAAUUUUUUAUUGAUUUUUAAUCUUUGAAUUAUUUUUUUGAACUGUAGUCUCUCUCCACCAGCUGAUUCAUCGCCAUCGAAUACCAACAACCACAGCCCCACCACUCCUCUUCAACUUCUCUCUCUUUCCGAUCUUCUUUUUCGCUUACAUGACUGAGUUGCCUGCUACAAACUUCUUCCUCUUAAACCUCUUUCUCCUUCCGAUCUGACCCGAAACAAUAAGCAAAUACAGGGCUCUUCCUAGCUUUCAAUCUGGGAUCUUACUACCAGAGCUUUGCGAGAAGAAAUAAAUGCACAGAAAACUAUGAGGUUCGAUUUAGGGUUUUGAAAAGGCGAGAGAUUUUGGGAUAAGAGAGAAAUUGAUUCUCCUGUGAGAAGAUUUUUAGUUUGUUUAGGUCGAUUUCUAAUAUAAUAUUGAGUUAUUUUUUGAAUUGUAGUCUCUCUUCAUCACCUGAUCCAACACCAUCGAAGGCCAACAGCCACAACCCCACCAUUACUUUCAAACCUCUUUCUCCUUUCAAUCUUCUUUUUCCCCUCACAUGAUCGAGUAGCCCGCUACAAACUUCUUCCUCUUGAACCUUUCGGCUUUCCCUCAUUCCAAUCUGACCCG
rnacentral:lncRNA from 1 species